GGGCCGAAUCGUGUCCCCCCGGUUCCUGGGGCGGCCCUGACCCCAGUGUGGGUGCAUCUGGGGGUGGGCUUGGAGGAGGAAAUCGGUGAGUGAGGGCCCGAUCUGAGAGCACUUGGUGGCCUUGUGAUAAGGGGAGCUACAGGCCUGGAGGAAAGCGCCCCCCACCCCCGCCCCCAUCCCCGGAGGACACAGCCGGCCAGCAGCUGUUUGCAAGCCGGGGAGAGAGCUCUCACCAGACCUCAUCCGCCAGCACCUUGAUCUUGGACCCCAGCCUCGGAACUGUGAGAAUAGUGGUUAUGGUUCGUAAGCGGCCCAACCGUGUGCUGUCUGGUUACGGCGGCCCCGGCUGACCAAGCUGCGUCCUGCUUUGCCUGGGCAGUGCAGUCCUGAGGAAAACGACCUUCACCUUCACAGCAAAGCCUCACCUGCAACAUGGAGGAAAUAAUUACCACGCCAUUCGUUCAUUCCAGAAAUACCUAAAAUACUUUUUGCCGGACCCCGGGCCCCAGCUCUGUGCUGGGACACCACGGAAAAUAAGAUAGGACGGGGCUGAAGGGCAACACAGACGGCCAUAGCUCAACGUGAUCUUUCCAGCGCCAUACGCCGCUGAAAAAUAAUAAAGCAGGGCGAUAUAAUACAGAC